UAGCUCAGUGGUAGAGCACCUUUCUAGCAAACAGGAGGCUUUGGGUUCAAUCCUCAG
rnacentral:tRNA from 1 species